UACGUAGGGGGCUAGCGUUGUCCGGAAUCAUUGGGCGUAAAGAGCGUGUAGGCGGCCCGGUAAGUCCGCUGUGAAAGUCGGGGGCUCAACCCUCGAAAGCCGGUGGAUACUGUCGGGCUAGAGUGCGGAAGAGGCGAGUGGAAUUCCUGGUGUAGCGGUGAAAUGCGCAGAUAUCAGGAGGAACACCGAUUGCGAAGGCAGCUCGCUGGGACGUAACUGACGCUGAGACGCGAAAGCGUGGGAGCAAACAGGAUAGAUA
rnacentral:rRNA from 1 species